UACAACAUAGCAUAAUGCAUCGGAUCCCAUUAGAACUUCGCAGUUAAGCGUGCUUAGGCUAGAGUAGUAUUGAGAUGGGUGAUCGUUCAGGAAGUCCUAGUGUUUUAC
rnacentral:rRNA from 1 species